CUCAAGUCAUGUUCGAUAUCUAGUUAAGGGGUACAUUUAUCUCCAGUGUUCCCCGGGACCUUCCCUUUUGAUUUUCAAGAACAUUUUCUUCCCUCUGCCAGAGCAGUCCUUUCGAAUCAAAGGCUCGGCUUUUCCAAAGCGUAGUUUCUGAUGUGGGCUUCAGUGGACUGGCUGCGAAGUUCCUGAGACAAUGAGAGGGGAUGCUGGCUGUCUCUUUCUCUUUAUCUUCUCGCAGUAAAGCUCCAGUUCUCCUUGAGGUAAAGUGGAGCCUCUGAUUGACGCGAGGACGCGGGGAAAAUGAAAGCCAAAUUAUUAUUAUUUCAAGUUGUGUUCUUGCGGCGUUCCCGGAUGUCUGUGGUGACCCUCGUUUGUGUGAAGUCAACAAAACUGACCAGCACACCAUCUGAAUGCUACAGCGGGAUGGAGAUGGGAGGCGAAGCCUUGGAAGCUGGAGGGUGAAUAGCUGGUGUGCACAACCCCCUAGCAACGGGCAAACGAGGAGGAGUGUGGAAUGGGAGUCAGUGCUUAAUGGGCACUAAGUUUCC
ensembl:lincRNA E330017L17Rik RIKEN cDNA E330017L17 gene